UGUUUCGAUCAGUAAAGAAACACAGGUAACUGCAGCGGUCGAUCUCGUUUGGCUUCGUGUGUAAUAAUUGUCUUUGGAGUAAGAAAAAUAGACAACUGUAACUGGAAAUAUGGUGUGCAUACAUUUGAAUCCCAAAAUAAAUGUGACUUUUACAAGUGGUCUCUGCGUGACAGUGAAGGUUCAGUCACAGGCUCAUAGACGUCACUGAACAGAUCACAGCAUAUUCUCUCCUGCUGUGCGGCUCUCACUGUGCAUGACUGCCAAGUGCCGUGGAGUUUGAACUCUAACUGGGCCAGCAGGAGCCGAAAGAUGCAGACAGAUCCAAAGGUUCCAGUCCCUCUCUGUGACGCACAUGAUGGGAGUCAAAUCAAUGAGAUGAGGCCGAAUCAAUGAGAUGUCAGUAUUGUUUUAUCAUUGCCUGUUGCAGCUUGAUGAUGAUCUCACAGCUGCAGGUUAUAAUUUGACCAGACAAAAUAAUGGGGAGAAAAAACUUUAGAGAAGACAAAGCUGAGAAAUGAAAACCAACAUCGUUCUGAGCGAGAGAAGAUGGUUGCUCACCUCCGAUUUUCCGGAAACUAAUUUUCAAUCUACUAAUCCUGCUCUCGCACAGUAUGAGUCAUCUAAUACACGGAGCAGCGCAGCUCCAACUGCAUUCUCUACAGGGCAAGAAGGGCAGCAGACCGCAUUUAAUUUUGAAUUUCUUGCUGAAAAACUGCUGAUGUAUAUUUCCACCUCCUUACCCCUGCUUUCACCUUCUCAGGUUUAUGAUUCAUAAUUCCUGUGAUUUCAGGCUAGGUUUUUGCAUGCUAAAAAAGGUACAAAGGUAAUUAUAUUUAUGUCAAUAGCCCAAACAGUCACAUUUACAAACAGUCAUUAAAGUGUGAAAAGUAAUUAAACACUAAUUUGAGAGCAUUUGCGGUGAGUGCUCUUGUUGUCAGAUGUUCUGUUUUAGAUCAUCUCCUCUCUGUAAUGUUGUGGACAGGACCAUUCAUAAGACAGCACCUCUCUAAGCUUGGGAACAGUUAAUUGAUUACCCAUGCCACCUACCCCCUCUGAGCCCUCUCUGUAAAGAUAAGUGUCGUCCCUGAAAUCGAACCCUCUGCCUGCCAUGCUUCUGUCUGAUUAGCUGCCGGAACAAUUAUCUUAAUCGUGUCAUCUUAACGAACCCCCACGAUAA